UAUCCGUAGACGCAUGCAUGGGGAGUUAUAAGAUUGUACAGGGAUGGCCCAGAAUCUCUUAAUUAUCUUUUCUUUACUCAUUGUCGUCGAAGUUUGCCGUUGCCUGCGUAUGGUAAUGCUGGACGUUCCCACUGCUGCCAACCAAGGAGAAUCAAUAGAGCUAUCAUGUAUAUAUGAAUUAGAAAAUGACAGGUUGUACUCCAUAAAAUGGUACAAGAACGACGUUGAGUUUUACAGAUAUGUGCCAAAUGAUUGGCCACCCGGUCAAUUCCUGCCACUUCCUGGAGUCAAAGUUGACCUGUCAAAGUCCGGGAGGAGGUCAGUUUUUCUUCGAAAUGUGGAUCUCAACAGUACAGGAACAUACCGCUGCGAAGUAUCCGCCGAAGCGCCUUCUUUCCAAUCAGUAGAAGCAGAAAGAGAACUAAACGUCAUGGUUCUACCAACAGAGGGCCCCAGAAUCACCGGUGGUCAGCCAAAAUACAAUGUCGGUGACCCCGUAGCCAUAAACUGCACAUCAGCCAAAUCAAAACCAGCUGCAACUCUCCGAUGGUUCAUUAAUGAUGUUGCUUUGGGACCAGAGUACGAUACAGAGUAUUCGACAACCCUUCACGCAGAUGGUUUAGAGACAUCGAGCUUGAGCUUGAAAUUCGUGGCCAAAGAUAAACAUUUCGUAAAUCAGAAUAUGAGGUUAAAGUGUACUGCACAAAUCAAGAAGAUGUACACAAUGAGCAAUGAAGAAAUGUUUGUUGGCGGAAGGCAACAAUCAUCACCGCUUCAAAUAGCAGAAAAUGAAAGUAGAGGAGCAGCAGAGACGAGUACGGAGUUUUUGAAUACGGUAUCUGCCGAUACAGAGACACCUGUUGAUGGGACAAGUAACUACGCUAGUUUUUUGCAUGUGCUCUAAAUAAGCUUAAAGUAAAAAACCUCUCAUUACAGCUACAGCUAGUCCAAAACGUAAAGGGACAAAACAGCAACUCCAGAGUACGAGCGAAGGAGU
rnacentral:misc_RNA from 1 species